rnacentral:lncRNA from 1 species
AAACAUAUACUUUGUACUGCUGUGUCACCUUACAUCUUGUCUAUAACACAUUAUUUUUAAUAUUUCCCAAAUUAAAAGAAAGUCCUUCCAUCACUAAAACUAGCCCAUAAAUGAAAUACUGCAAAAUGAAGUCAUGCAUUAAUUAUAAACAUUUAAUUUACACCAACAAUGAAACAAAUUCUUCACUACAAACAAUCAAGAGAUCAUUU